rnacentral:siRNA from 1 species
GGACCAGGCUUCAUCCCCC